UAAAACUCCAUUCAGUACUACCACCGUUCUUCUGUUUCCUCACGAAGGUGAGAAGCGCGCCAGACAACCAGAAAGAAGAGUAGAAGGCGUUCUCAAAUGCUGGAAUAAUGAUGUUUAUGGCAUCAAACGCACUUGAUUCAUCCAAUUUUAUCAUCCUGUUCUUCCCACUGCUUCAUCUCUUUGUCGAAUUAAGCUAGUUUCAUCCUGUUCUUCAUCGUGUAGUAAUCAUGGUUCAGCUACUAAAGAUCGCUCCUGAAACCGCAUUUCUGCUUUCCAGAAGUUCUGUAAUCAUCGAGUUUUCACUCCAAAAGCUUCAAGUUCGGACACAGAUGCGGUGGUAGCCUCCACAAAUGUGGAGGAAGACGUCGAGUCUGCUCAGCUAUUCGAGAAAUUAAAGGAUGCUGAGCGACAACGGGUAAACAAGUUGAAAGAGCUUCAGAGGAAGGUGAAUUUGCAAUUAGAGAGGCAGCUUGUAAUGGCUUCUAGUUGGUAGGGCCUUACUGACCAUGCGGAGAAAAUUAAAGGGAACUGAAAGAGAUCCCGAGAACUCGCACAAAAUUAAUUUUAGUGAUUGCAAGCAAUGCCCAGUUCAUUGAGUACUCAAAUUAUGGCCAAACAAUGUCAGGUUGAUACCUUGUGAUCUGGGAGUUCCUAGGAAAAUAACUAUACUACCACUCAAGCGCAGUGCACUUGGAUCUUUGGAGAAGAGUCGGUCGGCGAGGUCUUUUUUCUUCAGAGUCCAGCUCCCAGUUCUCAAAUUGAAGGCAUACAAGGGAAGGAAUCUUUGUCCAUAAUCAGCUAUGAAUUCCAAAGCUUUUAAAAUGAACUCAAACUCCUCAUUUGGCAUGUAGUAGGGAAAGCUUACUCUUGUCCAUCCAGAAUUGAAAGGUCAAUCUGAUUAUACCUUAGCAAUGGCAGAUCUGUAGGCGUGUGAGCAUGCUUCAUCAAUGUUUAGCAGUUUGUGACCAUAAGGUCCCGCACAACUGCAUCCCCCACGAGCCUGAAUGCCGAACAGGUCGCUCAGGAGUGCUGCAACAAAAGGACCAUGAAGAGUUGAGGGACGAGUUCGUCGAAGAGUAAAUGAUAAAAGAUAAUAUGGCCUGUCGCUUAGAAGACGUCCUCCCUAAAAUGCAGAUGUUUCUAUUCUGAAAAAUUUCCAGAGAACAAUGGAACACGUCAAAAUAUGCCGAAUUUUCAGUUUCGACCAAUCGGAUUCUGUUCAAAACACAAUUUAAAUUGGAAGGAUUCCAGGUGAGCCAGGUCCUCCAAGAAACUUAUGUGUACUUAAGAAAAUAGCAUCAUAGCCAUCAAUUUCCCCCGACCGCAUAUCAAUUUGCACGUACCUUGCAGCAAAAUCAAAGCAAACAUGGCCUCCAUAUUGAUGAAGAAGUGUAGAAAUAGCUCUUGUAUCUGAAUAAAUUCCAGUGACA